GAGUGGAUGUAUCAACAGGGCUGGUAUUGAACUGCUACUCCCCAGUGUGGCCUGAUCAGUUCUUUAGGAUGGCACCCUUUCCUUCUAAAUAGCUUUCCUGGAUGGAUGGGUGGAUGGAUGGAUGGAUGGAUGGAUAUGAGCAUGUGUCAGCCUCAAUUUCUCAGCCCAACAUUUUGGUCUUCUCUUGAUUGGGCUUCUGGGCUUCCUGAAGAAUCAGAAAUCAG
rnacentral:lncRNA from 10 species